CCCUCGGGAAACUGAGGUUAAUAUCUGAUAGGAGAUUUAUACUGGAAAGAUUAAUCUUUAAAAUUCGAGCCUAAGGAUGGGGCUGCGGUGGAUUAGGUUGUUGGCGGGGUAAUAGCCCACCAAGCCUUUGAUCCAUAGGGGCUCUUAGCGGAGAAGCCCCGAGAGGGAAUCUGAGACACUAUUCCCAGCCCUACGGGGUGCAGCAGUUAGGAAUAUUCUGCAAUGCGCGUAAGCGUGACAGAUUGAGUCAGAGUGCGCUUCAAUUUGGAGUGCUUUUGCUAAAUGUAAAAAGUUUGGCGAAUAAGGACUGGGUAAGACGAGUGCCAGCCGCCGCGGUAAUACUCGCGGUCCAAGUCGCAGCCAUUUUUAUUGGGUCUAAAACAUCCGUAGCUUGCUUGGUGAGUUCCUUGUGAAAUUCUAUAUCUCAAAUAUGGAGCGUGCAGGGAGUACUGCCAAGCUAGAGACUGGAAGACGUAACGAGUACGUUUGGAGUAGCGGUAAAAUGUGUUAAUCCCGGACGGACUAACAAUAGCGAAGGCACGUUACGAGGACAGUUCUGACAGUAAGGGAUGAAGGCUAGGGGCGCAAAACGGAUUAGAUACCCGUGUAGUCCUAGCAGUAAACACUGCACACUAAACAUUAGUACCUCCUCGAGAGGUAUUGGUGCCGAAGGGAAGCCGAAGAGUGUGCUACCUGGGAAGUAUAGUCGCAAGGCCGAAACUUAAAGGAAUU
rnacentral:rRNA from 1 species